rnacentral:rRNA from 2 species
UGCAGUCGACGCGUUGGCCCAAUUGAUUGAUGGUGCUUGCACCUGAUUGAUUUUGGUCGCCAACGAGUGGCGGACGGGUGAGUAACACGUAGGUAACCUGCCCAGAAGCGGGGGACAACAUUUGGAAACAGAUGCUAAUACCGCAUAACAACGUUGUUCGCAUGAACAACGCUUAAAAGAUGGCUUCUCGCUAUCACUUCUGGAUGGACCUGCGGUGCAUUAGCUUGUUGGUGGGGUAACGGCCUACCAAGGCGAUGAUGCAUAGCCGAGUUGAGAGACUGAUCGGCCACAAUGGGACUGAGACACGGCCCAUACUCCUACGGGAGGCAGCAGUAGGGAAUCUUCCACAAUGGGCGCAAGCCUGAUGGAGCAACACCGCGUGAGUGAAGAAGGGUUUCGGCUCGUAAAGCUCUGUUGUUAAAGAAGAACACGUAUGAGAGUAACUGUUCAUACGUUGACGGUAUUUAACCAGAAAGUCACGGCUAACUACGUGCCAGCAGCCGCGGUAAUACGUAGGUGGCAAGCGUUAUCCGGAUUUAUUGGGCGUAAAGAGAGUGCAGGCGGUUUUCUAAGUCUGAUGUGAAAGCCUUCGGCUUAACCGGAGAAGUGCAUCGGAAACUGGAUAACUUGAGUGCAGAAGAGGGUAG